rnacentral:rRNA from 1 species
CGGACGGGUGAGUAAUGUCUGGGAAACUGCCUGAUGGAGGGGGGUAACUACUGGAAACGGUAGCUAAUACCGCAUAACGUCGCAAGGCCAAAGAGGGGGACCUUCGGGCCUCUUGCCAUCGGAUGUGCCCAGAUGGGAUUAGCUAGUAGGUGGGGUAAAGGCUCACCUAGGCGACGAUCCCUAGCUGGUCUGAGAGGAUGACCAGCCACACUGGAACUGAGACACGGUCCAG